CAGUUCGGACUGUAGUCUGCAACUCGACUACACGAAGCUGGAAUCGCUAGUAAUCGCGAAUCAGAAUGUCGCGGUGAAUACGUUCCCGGGUCUUGUACACACCGCCCGUCACACCAUGGGAGUCGGGAAUGCCCGAAGCCGGUGACCUAACCGAAAGGAAGGAGCCGUCGAAGGCAGGUCUGAUAACUGGGGUGAAGUCGUAACAAGGUAGC
rnacentral:rRNA from 1 species